rnacentral:lncRNA from 1 species
AUUUGAAAACAAAAUAAACAUAAUUUAAAUAAUUUUACUUAUAUUUGUCAUAAGUACAACAUAUGGUCCAGAAUCCUUCCAUGCACACUAUAAUGAACAGUUAUACUCUACUCAUCCUGAUAUUUUUAUCUUUUUGAAGUGUAUCAUUGAACAACAGUCGGUGAAUUGCAUUGAGAUUCGUUACAUUGAUGAACAGGCACCCCAGUCAAUAAUUUAUAAUGAAAAACUUGAUUAUUUAUUUGAAAUGUGGGCAAAGUACUAGUCAGAAC